ensembl:lncRNA LAMTOR5-AS1 LAMTOR5 and SLC16A4 antisense RNA 1
AGAGACUAAAGGACGAGAUGGAGCAAGGUUCAACCCCCUAGCUGAGUGUUGGCAGUGUCGGGAUUUUAACGAAGACAUUGGUGCUUAUUAUGGAAGAGUGUCUUCAUCUCUGCAUCCCUAGUGCAACAGAGCAUGACAAAAAUUCAACAAAUAUUUAUUGAAGAGUCUUGAUGUCUUUUGGGAAAGGAACUCUAUGGUUACCUUUACUCUAAGUUAAAAACAACAACAACAACAACAAAAACACAAAACCCUGAGGCUCAGAAGAUAAAUAUUUGCUGAAGAUCACUGUGCUUAUUAGAUGGGUGUUACUGAUUCUUACCUCAGAGAAGAGAAUGUCAUGGAGACAAAAUGACCUGCUUAGAGUUCUGCACCCCCCAGCAUGGAGAGCAGAGCGCAAAGAUUUCUUCCGGACUCCCACAUUCCCCUUGGAAUCCAAGAACUGGUCUACUGUCACAACACUUUAGUACCCUCUUCUCCCAAGGAGGCAGCAGAAACUGGGGUAAUCACAACGGUCAACAGCAGCAAAGGCAGCACUUUCUGA